GGCCGAAUGGUGCAGUUGGUAGCACUUGUGGUUUUUGUUGAGAACAGCUUCGUCAACUAUUCGCCACAGGACCCUUGUUUGAUUCAAGGUUCGGCCU